AGCGAACGCUGGCGGCAGGCCUAACACAUGCAAGUCGAACGAACCCUUCGGGGUUAGUGGCGGACGGGUGAGUAACACGUGGGAACGUGCCUUUAGGUUCGGAAUAACUCAGGGAAACUUGUGCUAAUACCGAAUGUGCCCUUCGGGGGAGAGAUUUAUCGCCUUUAGAGCGGCCCGCGUCUGAUUAGCUAGUUGGUGAGGUAAUGGCUCACCAAGGCUACGAUCAGUAGCUGGUCUGAGAGGAUGACCAGCCACAUUGGGACUGAGACACGGCCCAAGCUCCUACGGGAGGCAGCAGUGGGGAAUCUUGCGCAAUGGGCGAAAGCCUGACGCAGCCAUGCCGCGUGGAUGAUGAAGGUCUUAGGAUUGUAAAAUCCUUUCACCGGUGAAGAUAAUGACUGUAGCCGGAGAAGAAGCCCCGGCUAACUUCGUGCCAGCAGCCGCAGUAAUAC
rnacentral:rRNA from 1 species